GGGGGCGAUGUGGGGGUGUGUGUAUAAAUGCGCUGUGUUCCUGACAGGGUUUUUUAAUGGUGUUGCAGUUGCCUGAAGUGAUGUCAGGGGCUAACACCAGCUACUACCAGGAGGCGGCGGAGCUGGCGGUGGGCUACCGCUGCUCCUGCCGGCACAGCAUGGGCGGGCCGCAGUGCAGCAUUGUCACGGUAGUGGUGGGCAGCGUGGCGCGACCAAGCACCGAGGCGGAGGCCAUGUCGGCGGGUCAGGUGGUGCUGGUGGUGGUGUUCAGCACCGCUAUGCCCGUGCUAGUGGUGGAAUUGGUGUUGGUGAUUGUGUGCAUGAAGCGGAAACGCGUACGUGACUGCCCGUGUCGGGAUGAGGAGGCGCGGCGUCAGAACGAGCAGAACAUGGUGCACAACGCUGUGGGCGCCGUCAACAGUGUCUGGACCACCACAUGAUCUACUCCCUAAACUUCCCCAUCAAGAAACCUCUCAAAACCGUGCCACCGCCUCCUCCCCUUGCAUCACCCACACCACACCCACCUCCACCACCAUCACCUCCACGACCACGACUACAAGAAUCCCGCGGAGAACGCAUACUCCGCAGUGCCCAUGCGCAGCAGCAGGACUCAACAAGGAUGUGUCGCGGCUCUCGCUGGCUGACCGCCUCGAGAAGGACAUUGAGCCCCCGCCCAGCGCCUGCGUCACGCCCACCUCGGACUCCAGCGCCCCAUGCAAGGUGUUCCGGAAUUCCUUCCUGCCGCGCACAUACAGCCACAGGAGGCGAGGAAUUCCAUAGCUGUGGACCAAAGUAAAAUAUGCUGUGCUUGAAUAACUGUGUGCGGAAUUGCGGGCACUCCAAAUUCAAGUUCCCACCUCUUGUUGCAUACGGUGAAUCUACACAUUUAAAGGAGUUAUGGGUGGCAGGAGGUUGAUGAAAUGUGUGGUGGUGUCACAAGUGAAGCACAGUGAGCGUUCCUGCAGGGUGAAGCAAUGAUGAGACCAGCGUCACCAGUCAGCGAGGCCGAAAUCAAGCGACCGCCGGCAGAGAGGAGUCUUCUCCUGGACGUUUGAAGAGUACCACCUUCUUGAAGCACAGAGCACAGACAGCGCUGGAAACUGGACUACUACAGUUUGAGCAGAGUCCAACAUCUGUGUAUCUGCACCAGAAUCAAGUGUCCAGGGAGGAAAUGAUACGUCUGCAGAGAUGUGCCAGGAGGAGGGACUCUUGGAACAGGCCUUCACACAACAGGGAUUGGGGUGGGGGUGGGGGGACCUUAUAGCAGCAGGUGACUAGGAGAGAGGUUCCCCACAAGAUGCAACACACCACAUCCUCCAAACGCAAAAUAUAUUUGCCAAUAAAGGCAAGUUUGUGUGCCACUCUGUUGAUUUGAAGCAGCAAAACGUGCGGGUAUGACACCGUGUUGUAAUCAAUUGUAUAGUAUUGUCUAGUAAUCAACGUUUUUAUUACUACCAUUAUUAUUAUCUUGGUGUCACUCUAACUGUCACGUCGACUUCACAUCUCGUGUGUUAGUAAUAUUUUUACAAUUAAUUCUCAACACUUACUAUUGUUAUUGGUAAUAGUGUAUUAUUGUGUGAUCAAUAUUAGCAUUACUAUCAUUGCCCUACUGUUACUAUUGUUAUCAUUACUAGUACCAAUACUACUUUUAUUACCAUUGCUUGGUAAUACUUCAUGUAAAAUUACUUCAUUGAUUCAGGAUCCUCUACAUUAUCUACUGUUUUAUACUGACAAU